GACAAGGUGGCUGAGUGCUUAAGGUGAUGGACUGCGAAUCCAUUGUGCUCUGCACGUGUGGGUUUGAAUCCCGUCCUCCUUGUCG
rnacentral:tRNA from 1 species